ensembl:snoRNA U3 Small nucleolar RNA U3
AAGACUAUACUUUCAGGGAUCAUUUCUAUAGUUUGUUAAAAAAGUUUUUCUUUUUGUCUAUGUGAGAGAGAGAGAGGAGAGAGAGAGAGAGAGAGAGAGAGAGAGAGAGCAAGUGUGAGAUGGAGUGGGGGAAGAGGGUUUGUUUUUCUGAGGCCUUUCUCCAUGCCUUUUAGAUGUCCACCUUCUUGCUGUGUCCUCACAUUGUCUUCCUCUGUGUGA